rnacentral:rRNA from 1 species
GAUGAACGCUAGCGACAGGCUUAACACAUGCAAGUCGAGGGGCAGCAUGGGAGGUGGCAACACCACCCGAUGGCGACCGGCGCACUGGUGAGUAACACGUAUGCAACCUGCCCCCUACAGGGGAAUAACCCAGAGAAAUUUGGCCUAAUACCCCGUAGUCCGCCGCGGCGCAUGACGUGGCGGGGAAAGAGUUAUCGGUAGGGGAUGGGCAUGCGGCGCAUUAGCUAGUUGGCGGGGCAACGGCCCACCAAGGCUACGAUGCGUAGGGGUUCUGAGAGGAAGGUCCCCCACACUGGUACUGAGACACGGACCAGACUCC